AUUUGGCAGCACAUAUACUCAAAUUAGAAAGAUACAGAGAAGAUUAGCAUGGCCUUACACAAAGGAUGACACAUAAAUAUGUGGUAUAUGUAUGUAUAU
rnacentral:snRNA from 1 species